rnacentral:rRNA from 1 species
GUGGACGCACCCCUGGUGUUCCGGUUGUGUCGCCAGACGCAUUGCGGGGUAGCUAAGUGCGGAAGAGAUAAGUGCUGAAAGCAUCUAAGCACGAAACUUGCCAAGAGAUGAGUUCUCCCAAUCUAAGAGAUAGUAAGGGUUGUUGUAGACUACGACGUAGAUAGGUCUGGUGUAUAAGUGUAGUGAUACAUUGAGCUAACAGAUACUAAUUGCCCGAGAGGCUUAACU